AGGGUUGUGGCUCAGUUGUAGAGCACUCGCCUAGCAUGUGUGAGGCCCUGGGUUUGAUCCUCAGCACCACAU
rnacentral:tRNA from 1 species